rnacentral:rRNA from 1 species
AUACGGAGGAUGCAAGCGUUAUCCGGAUUUAUUGGGUUUAAAGGGUGCGUAGGCGGCUUGGUAAGUCAGAUGUGAAAUGUAGAGGCUCAACCUCUGAACUGCAUUUGAAACUAUUGAGCUUGAGUGAUGUAGAGGCAGGCGGGAUUUCCUGGGUAGCGGGGGAAGGCGUAGAGAUAGGGAGGAACACCAGUGGCGAAGGCGGCCUGCUGGGCAUUAACUGACGCUGAGGCACGAAAGCGUGGGUAGCAAACAGGAUUAGAUACCCUGGUAGUCCACGCUGUAAACGAUGAUUACUAGGUGUGGGUGGACUGACCCCAUCCGUGCCGCAGUUAACACAAUAAGUAAUCCACCUGGGGAGUACGGCCGCAAGGUUGAAACUCAAAGGAAUUGACGGGG